rnacentral:rRNA from 1 species
GUCGAACGAAGCUCGAUUCUUGAGAUUUCGGUCAAAAAGAAAAGAUGACUUAGUGGCGGACGGGUGAGUAAUGCGUGAGCAACCUGCCUCGGAGAGGGGGACAACAGCUGGAAACGGCUGCUAAUACCGCAUAAUGUAUUUGGAGGGCAUCCUCUGAAUAUCAAAGAUUUAUCGCUCUGAGAUGGGCUCACGUCUGAUUAGUUAGUUGGUGAGGUAACGGCUCACCAAGACUGCGAUCAGUAGCCGGACUGAGAGGUUGAACGGCCACAUUGGGACUGAGAUACGGCCCAGACUCCUACGGGAGGCAGCAGUGGGGAAUAUUGGGCAAUGGGCGCAAGCCUGACCCAGCAACGCCGCGUGAAGGAAGAAGGCUUUCGGGUUGUAAACUUCUUUUAUGAGGGACGAAGAAUGUGACGGUACCUCAUGAAUAAGCCACGGCUAACUACGUGCCAGCAGCCGCGGUAAUACGUAGGUGGCGAGCGUUAUCCGGAUUUACUGGGUGUAAAGGGCGCGUAGGCGGGGAAGCAAGUCAGAUGUGAAAUCCAUGGGCUCAACCCAUGAACUGCAUUUGAAACUGUUUCUCUUGAGUGCCGGAGAGGUAGACGGAAUUCCUAGUGUAGCGGUGAAAUGCGUAGAUAUUAGGAGGAACACCAGUGGCGAAGGCGGUCUACUGGACGGUAACUGACGCUGAGGCGCGAAAGCGUGGGGAGCAAACAGGAUUAGAUACCCUGGUAGUCCACGCUGUAAACGAUGAAUACUAGGUGUGGGGGGACUGACCCCUUCCGUGCCGCAGUUAACACAAUAAGUAUUCCACCUGGGGAGUACGACCGCAAGGUUGAAACUCAAAGGAAUUGACGGGGGCCCGCACAAGCAGUGGAUUAUGUGGUUUAAUUCGAAGCAACGCGAAGAACCUUACCAGGGCUUGACAUCCAACUAACGAAGUAGAGAUACAUUAGGUGCCUACG